AGAGUUUGAUCCUGGCUCAGGAUGAACGCUAGCUACAGGCUUAACACAUGCAAGUCGAGGGGCAGCAUGUUGGUUGCUUGCAACCAACGAUGGCGACCGGCGCACGGGUGAGUAACGCGUAUCCAACCUACCCUUGUCCAUCGGAUAACCCGUCGAAAGGCGGCCUAACACGAUAUGCGGUUCACGGCAGGCAUCUAAGGUGAACGAAAUGUGAAGGAGAAGGAUGGGGAUGCGUCUGAUUAGCUUGUUGGCGGGGUAACGGCCACCAAGGCUACGAUCAGUAGGGGUUCUGAGAGGAAGGUCCCCCACAGUUGGAACUGAGACACGGUCCAAACUCCUACGGGAGCAA
rnacentral:rRNA from 1 species